rnacentral:rRNA from 1 species
CCUACGGGAGGCUGCAGUGAGGAAUAUUGGUCAAUGGACGCGAGUCUGAACCAGCCAAGUAGCGUGAAGGAUGAAUGCCCUAUGGGUUGUAAACUUCUUUUAUAUGGGAAUAAAUUGUUCCACGUGUGGGAUUUUGUAUGUACCAUAUGCAUAAGGGUCGGCUAACUCCGUGCCAGAAGCCGCGGUAAUACGGGGGAUCCGGUCGUUAUCCGGAUCUAUUGGGUUUAAAGGGUGAGUAGGCGGGCAGUUAAGCCGGCGGUCAACGGUCGGGGCUCAGCCCCGGCCUGGCGGCGGUACUGGGUGCAUUGAGUGGGCGAGAGGUAGGCAGAAUGCGUGGUGUAGCGGUGAAAUGCAUAGAUAUCACGCAGAACCCCGAUUGCGAAGGCAGCAUACCGGCGCCCUACUGACGCUGAGGCACGAAAGUGCGGGUAUCGAACAGGAUUAGAUACCCGUGUAGUC